rnacentral:rRNA from 1 species
CAACGAGGGCUGGCUUGCCAGUCUGAAGUGGCGGAUACCAUGCUUCCAGGAAAAGCCUCUAAGCUUCAGUCGUUGGGUGACCGUACCGCAAACCGACACAGGUGGGCGAGCUGAAUAUGCUCAGGCGCUUGAGAGAACUCGGGUGAAGGAACUCGGCAAAUUGACACCGUAACUUCGGGAUAAGGUGUGCCUCUGCUAGGUGAACGUGUACAACGGGAGCCGAGAGGGGCUGCAAAAAAUCGGUGGCUGCGACUGUUUAACAAAAACACAGCACUCUGCUAAGACGAAAGUCGACGUAUAGGGUGUGACGCCUGCCCGGUGCCGGAAGGUUAAAUGAUGGGGUGCAAGCCCUUGAUUGAAGCCCCGGUAAACGGCGGCCGUAACAAUAACGGUCCUAAGGUAGCGAAAUUCCUUGUCGGGUAAGUUCCGACCUGCACGAAUGGCGUAACGAUGGCCACACUGUCUCCACCCGAGACUCAGCGAGGUUGAAGUGUUUGUGAAGAUGCAAUCUCCCCGCGGCAAGACGGAAAGACCCCGUGCACCUUUACUGUAGCUUUGCAUUGGACUGUGAUGAGGUUUGUGUAGGAUAGCUGGGAGGCUUUGAAGCGGGGGCGCUAGCUCUCGUGGAGCCAACGUUGAAAUACCAGCCUGACGUCAUUGCGGUUCUAACCUGGCUCCCUCACCGGGAGCGGGGACCGUGCAUGGUAGGCAGUUUGACUGGGGCGGUCUCCUCCCAAUCGUAACGGAGGAGCUCGAAGGUUCGCUUAGCGCGGUCGGACAUCGCGCUGGACGUGCAAGGGCACAAGCGAGCUUGACUGCGAGACUGACAAGUCGAGCAGGUACGAAAGUAGGACCUAGUGAUCCGGUGGUUCUGUAUGGAAGGGCCAUCGCUCAACGGACAAAAGGUACGCCGGGGAUAACAGGCUGAUACCGCCCAAGAGUUCAUAUCGACGGCGGUGUUUGGCACCUCGAUGUCGGCUCAUCACAUCCUGGGGCUGUAGCCGGUCCCAAGGGUAUGGCUGUUCGCCAUUUAAAGUGGUACGUGAGCUGGGUUCAAAACGUCGUGAGACAGUUUGGUCCCUAUCUGCCGUGGGCGUUGGAGAUUUGACGGGGGCUGCUCCUAGUACGAGAGGACCGGAGUGGACGUACCGCUGGUGUACCAGUUGUCUCGCCAGAGGCAUCGCUGGGUAGCUAUGUACGGAAGCGAUAACCGCUGAAAGCAUCUAAGCGGGAAACGUGCCUGAAGAUGAGAUCUCCCGGGGACUCGAUCCCCCUGAAGGGCCGUGGCAGACCACCACGUUGAUAGGCCGGGUGUGGAAGCGCAGUAAUGCGUUCAGCUAACCGGUACUAAUAACCCGUGCGGCUUGACCCC